rnacentral:rRNA from 1 species
AACGAACGCUGGCGGCAUGCCUAACACAUGCAAGUCGAACGAGACCUUCGGGUCUAGUGGCGCACGGGUGCGUAACGCGUGGGAACCUGCCCUUAGGUUCGGAAUAACUCCCCGAAAGGGGUGCUAAUACCGGAUAAUGUCUUCGGACCAAAGAUUUAUCGCCUUUGGAUGGGCCCGCGUUGGAUUAGCUAGUUGGUAAGGUAAAAGCCUACCAAGGCGACGAUCCAUAGCUGGUCUGAGAGGAUGAUCAGCCACACUGGGACUGAGACACGGCCCAGACUCCUACGGGAGGCAGCAGUGGGGAAUAUUGGACAAUGGGCGAAAGCCUGAUCCAGCAAUGCCGCGUGAGUGAUGAAGGCCUUAGGGUUGUAAAGCUCUUUUACCCGGGAUGAUAAUGACAGUACCGGGAGAAUAAGCUCCGGCUAACUCUGUG